GUCUUGGCUGGUGCUGGGUGGCUCUUCCAGCCCCGCCUGGCUGGCACUGGUCCCAGGCCCACCAGUGCCUGCCUCUGGUGUCUUGGGAGAGCCAAAGGACCCAGAUAAGGAGGGUCUCCAGCACCUGUUCUGGCCACCAGCUUCCUCACCAGCCAGGCAUUGCCACCCCAACAGGCCCCCACCAGGGCCAGAAGCCCCUGAGUGUAAAUCCCCUCCCCAGCCCUUUGCCCAGCAGACCCCACCAAGAGGAUCCAGAGUCAGGAGCCAGGCUGGGUCCACUGGGGCAGGCAGCACAUCCGGCUGGGUGCACGGGCUUCAUUUCCUGUCCUAGAGAGUGAAGACACAUGGCUGCUUCACCCACGCAGAGCACCCACAUGCAGCUCACUCACACAUGCACACAUGCAGCUCACACACACAUGCGCACAGGCAGCUCACACACAUGCAGCUCACACACAUGCAGCUCCACACACAUGCACACAUGCAGCUCACACACAUACACGCACGUGCAGCUCACACACAUGCACACAUGUGCAGCUCACACACACAUGUGCACAGACAGCUCACACACAUGUGCACAGGCAGCUCACACACACGCACACACACAUGCAGCUCACACACACAUGCAGCUCACACACAUGUACACACAUGCAGCUCACACACAUGCAUACCUGCAGCUCACACACAUGUGCACACACAGCACACACAUGUGCACACACAUGCAGCUCACACACAUGCAUCUCACACACAUGCGCACACACAGCACACACACAUGCACACAUGCAGCACACAGAUGCACACAUGCAGCUCACACACAUGUGUACAUGCAGCUCACACAUGCGCAAUGCAGUUCACACACACAUGCACACACAUGCAGCUCACACACAUGCACACAUGCAGCUCACACCACAUGCAGCUCACACACAUGUGCACACACAUGCAGCUCACACACACAUGCACACAUGCAGCUCACACACAUGCAGCUCACACAUGCGCAAUGCAGUUCACACACACAUGCAGCUCACACACACGCACACACACAUGCACACACACAUGCAGCUCACACACACAGCUCACACACAUGCACACACGCACACACACGCAGUUCACGCACACACACAGCCCACAAACAUGCACAUGCGCACACAUGCCCCCCAGGACCGCCUGCCUGCUCAGUCCUCUAUCCCUAUAACCUUUGUCUGUGUGAUGCCAAGUAACCCUCCUGGUCAAGAGACUGGACAGACACAGGCCAGGCGGCCAGGUUGGGGGAGGAGACAGG
rnacentral:lncRNA from 1 species